rnacentral:rRNA from 1 species
GACGAACGCUGGCGGCGUGCUUAACACAUGCAAGUCGAACGGAAAGGCCCCUUUGGGGGUUCCCGGGUGGCGAACGGGCGGGUAACACGUGAGUAACCUGCCUUUGACUUCGGGAUAACUACAGGAAACUGGGGCUAAUACCGGAUAGGAAUCAUUGGUGCAUGGAGGGGGUUGGAAAGCUUCGGCGGUUUGGGAUGGACUCGCGGUUAACUGGCUUGUUGGUGGGGGUGGGGCUGGCCAAGGCUUUGACGGGUAGCGGGCCUGAGAGGGCGACCGGGCCCAAUGGGACUGCGAGACGGCCCAGACUCCUACGGGAGGCAGCAGUGGGGAAUCUUGCACAAUGGGCCGGAGCCUGAUGCAGCAACGCCGCGUGCGGGAUGACGGCCUUCGGGUUGUAAACCGCUUUCAGCAGGGGCGAAGCUUGUGGUGACGGUACCUGCAGAAGAAGCACCGGCUAACUACGUG